GGUAAAGUGGCUGAGGUAAGCGGUGGAUUGUAGCCCCAUAGACAGAGGUUAAAAUCCUCUCUUUACUA
rnacentral:tRNA from 1 species